AAGCUACUCCCUCUGUUCGGAAUUACUUGUCGCAAAAAUGGAUGUAUCUAGACCUAUUUUAGUUCUAGAUACAUCCAUUUCCGAGACAAGUAAUUCGAACGGAGGGAGUAGACA
rnacentral:pre_miRNA from 1 species